rnacentral:misc_RNA from 1 species
ACAAACUUGGUUAGAGGAAGUAAAAGUCGUAACAAGGUUUCCGUAGGUGAACCUGCGGAAGGAUCAUUAUUGAAUUCGCUGCAAGGCGAUAUUCUGGCUGUGCGCCGCGAGGCUGCACGCCGACCACACACCCUGUGCACCUAUCGGUGGGGUUAACCUGCUGCAUUAAUAACUAUAAGUCUCGAAUGUAAUAAAAGUAACACAAUACAACUUUCAGCAACGGAUCUCUUGGCUCUCGCAUCGAUGAAGAACGCAGC